GGAAGUGGCACAGGCUGAGGGGGGUGGCAGGUCUGAGGGGACUCAAUGGGUGUGAAGGGAGUGAGGGGGGUGAGAGGACUUUGAGAGUUUGCAGGAACUGGCAGGACUGGGGGUUUGCUGAGGGGAUGGCAGGGCUGAGGGGAUGGAGGGGGCCAGCAGGGAGCACAGAGGGGUUUGGGCCUGUGGCUCUGCCAGCCCUUGGAACCAAUUCCAGAGCCUCCACUUUUGCCACAGCUGCCCUGAAGACCUUGAGAAGAGCGGGAGAGUGACGAGAACCAGCAGGGAGAAGCGGAAGGCCACAGCAAGAGCAGCGAAUAUGGACCUGCUGCUGCCGCCCGAGACCCUGGGUGUCCCAUCUGCUGUCCCCGUCCAGGAGAGCUGCUCUGCACGGGAGGAAGAGACCGAGGGAGAGCCUGGGAACAUGGGCGGCUGCAAUCCCUCCUGAUUUAAUUCUGUUUAUAGAUGUGUGGAGUAUGACUAAGAGAGUUAGAAGAAUGGGGAUAUUUCCAUCUGUAUAUCUAUUUGUAUGGGUAUAUUGAUGCAUGUAUAUCGAUCUGUUUACAUCUGUAGUUAUAUUUACAUACUUGUUCAGUUGGGUACCUGAAUAGAUCGAUUGAUGGGGUUGGAAUGAUUUUUAUAUUAGUACAUUGAUAUUUGCAUAUUUAUAGCGGAAUUUGAUAUGUGUGUAUUAUAGAUGUCUCGUUAUAUCUCACAUGAAAUAUUUAAUAUAUAUCUACAUCUGUAUGUUUUUAUGAUUUUAUAUGUAUUUACUUAUAUUUCAGUAUGUAUGGAAUUGUAUAGCUCUAGAAUUCUAUUUUUUGAGUUCUGGAUCUGGGAUUCUUUAGAGAGGGAUAUCUGUAUUUCUGUAUUCAUAUAUGGGCCAUACAGUUGUAGAAUUAUGUAAUAAAUUAAAUUGUUAAACUUCAGUUGAUAUUUGUGUGUAGUGAGUGGUAGUAGAGGGUUCCAGUAAAUUAUUUUUUUUUAACUGAAGUGGGUAUUUGUAUCUAUUUACAUAGCAUGAUUGUAACAAUAAAUUAGGUUUGUAAACUUCAGUUGAUAGUUUUAUGUUCAUGUAUUGGCAGUAAUUUAAAAUAAAUGUCAUUUUUAAACUGAA